rnacentral:rRNA from 1 species
GAUGAACGCUGGCGGCGUGCCUAAUACAUGCAAGUCGAACGCACAGACGCGUAUCAGUCCCUUCUGUCAAUAGGGGCGAGCGGGGGAGGAGGACGGGGAAAACCUACGUAUACGACCGGGAUAACUGCGGGGAACAGGAGCGAAUAGCUGCUAAUAUAUCAAAACAAGUUGUUCCAUAGGGAAAGACGGUGUUGCAGACACUAAUGCGUGGAUCCGCGCCGCAUUCGCGAGAGGGUAAGGAAACGGUGUACCAAGGCAAAGAUGCGUAGCCGACGCGAGGGGGUGAUCGGCCACACUGGAACUGAGACACGGUCCAGACUCCUACGGGAGGCAGCAGUAGGGAAUCUUCCGCAAUGGGCGAAAGCCUGACGGAGCAACGCCGCGUGAGUGAUGAAGGUCUUCGGAUCGUAAAACUCUGUUAUUAGGGAAGAACAAAGGUGUAAGUAACUAUGCACGUCUUGACGGUACCUAAUCAGAAAGCCACGGCUAACUACGUG